AUUGAACGCUGGCGGCAGGCCUAACACAUGCAAGUCGAACGAGUGGCGGACGGGUGAGUAAUGGCUGGGAAUCUGCCUGAUGGAGGGGGAUAACUACUGGAAAAGGUAGCUAAUACCGCAUACCAUCGGCUAGGCCCAGAUGGGAUUAGCUAGUCGGUGGGGUAAAGGCUCACUUAGGCGACGAUCCCUAGCUGGUCUGAGAGGAUGACCAGCCGCACUGGAACUGUGACACGGUCCAGACUCCGACGGGAGGCAGCAGUGGGGAAGAUUGCACAAUGGGCGCAAGCCUGAUGCAGCACUGCCGCGUGUAUGAAGAAGGCCUUCGGGUUGUAAAGUACUUUCAGCGGGGAGGCGUUACCCGCAGAAGAAGCACCGGCUAACUCCGUGCCAGCAGCCGCGGUAAUAC
rnacentral:rRNA from 1 species